AUUCCUACGGGAGGCAGCAGUGGGGAAUAUUGCACAAUGGGCGAAAGCCUGAUGCAGCGACGCCGCGUGAGGGAUGAAGGCCUUCGGGUUGUAAACCUCUUUCAGCAGGGAAGAAGCGGUCGGGUUUUCUCGGUCGUGACGGUACCUGCAGAAGAAGCACCGGCUAACUACGUGCCAGCAGCCGCGGUAAUACGUAGGGUGCAAGCGUUGUCCGGAAUUAUUGGGCGUAAAGAGCUUGUAGGCGGUUUGUCGCGUCUGCUGUGAAAUUUCGGGGCUCAACCCCGAACUUGCAGUGGGUACUGGCAGACUAGAGUGUGGUAGGGGAGACUGGAAUUCCUGGUGUAGCGGUGAAAUGCGCAGAUAUCAGGAGGAACACCGAUGGCGAAGGCAGGUCUCUGGGCCACUACUGACGCUGAGAAGCGAAAGCAUGGGGAGCGAACAGGAUUAGAUACCCUGGUAGUCCAUGCCGUAAACGUUGGGAACUAGGUGUGGGUCUCAUUCCACGAGAUCCGUGCCGCAGCUAACGCAUUAAGUUCCCCGCCUGGGGAGUACGGCCGCAAGGCUAAAACUCAAAGGAAUUGACGGGGGCCCGCACAAGCGGCGGAGCAUGCGGAUUAAUUCGAUGCAACGCGAAGAACCUUACCAAGGCUUGACAUGUGCCGGAAAAGUGCAGAGAUGUGCUCCCCGCGAGGUCGGUACACAGGUGAUGCAUGGUUGUCGUCAGCUCGUGUCGUGAGAUGUUGGGUUAAGUCCCGCAACGAGCGCAACCCUCGUUCUAUGUUGCCAGCACGUGAUGGUGGGGACUCAUAGGAGACUGCCGGGGUCAACUCGGAGGAAGGUGGGGAUGACGUCAAAUCAUCAUGCCCCUUAUGUCUUGGGCUUCACGCAUGCUACAAUGGUCAGUACAAAGGGCUGCGAUACCGCAAGGUGGAGCGAAUCCCAAAAAACUGGUCUCAGUUCGGAUUGGGGUCUGCAACUCGACCCCAUGAAGUCGGAGUCGCUAGUAAUCGCAGAUCAGCAACGCUGCGGUGAAUACGUUCCCGGGCCUUGUACACACCGCC
rnacentral:rRNA from 1 species